CAGCAGCCGCGGGAAUACGUAGGUCCCGAGCGUUGUCCGGAUUUAUUGGGCGUAAAGCGAGCGCAGGCGGUUAGAUAAGUCUGAAGUUAAAGGCUGUGGCUUAACCAUAGUACGCUUUGGAAACUGUUUAACUUGAGUGCAAGAGGGGAGAGUGGAAUUCCAUGUGUAGCGGUGAAAUGCGUAGAUAUAUGGAGGAACACCGGUGGCGAAAGCGGCUCUCUGGCUUGUAACUGACGCUGAGGCUCGAAAGCGUGGGGCGCAAACAGGAUUAGAUACCCGCGUAGUCCCUGUCUCUUAUACC
rnacentral:rRNA from 1 species